rnacentral:rRNA from 1 species
GGGUCAGUAGGUUGGUCGUGCCACCGGUACGUACUGGUCUCACUGAUUCCUCCUUCCUGAGGAACCGUGAUGCCAUUAAUUUGGUGUUGCGGGGAAACAGGACUGUUACUUUGAAAAAAUUAGAGUGUUUAAAGCAAGCUAACGCUUGAAUACAUUAGCAUGGAAUAAUGAAAUAGGACGAUCGAUCCUAUUUUGUUGGUUUCUAGGAUUGACGUA